CAUAGGGUUUUUUUUUUCUCUUUCUUCUUUUCCAAGUUGAGCACUUGAUCACCUUGUGGUCAUCACCAUCAUCACCAUGAUCAUCACUUGCUCCAUCACUAAGCACGUACCAACCUCAUUAAGUCUACACACACUUUAGUAUAGAGGUUAGUACUAGGGUUUCAUCAAUUAUCCAAAACCAAAUUAGGGCUUUCACACACGUCAUCUAGGAGUUCUAUUGGGUGCUUCCAAAUAUAUUUCGAAGCAUAUGGUACGUUCCAUGCAAUU
rnacentral:lncRNA from 1 species